rnacentral:rRNA from 1 species
GGCGGAGGAGCUCGCGCCCACAGGUAACCCUUGAAUAAACUACCUUUGUUGCUUUGGCGGGCCGCCUCUCCGGCCAGCGGCUUCGGCUGCUGCGCGCCCGCCAGAGGACCACAACUCUUGUUUUUAGUGAUGUCUGAGUACUAUAUAAUAGUUAAAACUUUCAACAACGGAUCUCUUGGUUCUGGCAUCGAUGAAGAACGCAGCGAAAUGCGAUAAGUAAUGUGAAUUGCAGAAUUCAGUGAAUCAUCGAAUCUUUGAACGCACAUUGCGCCCUUUGGUAUUCCGAAGGGCAUGCCUGUUCGAGCGUCAUUAUAACCACUCAAGCCUUCGCUUGGUAUUGGGGCUCGCGGUCGCGCGGCCCCUAAAAUCAGUGGCGGUGCCGGCUGGCUCUACGCGUAGUAAUACUCCUCGCGUCUGGGUCCGGUCGGUUGCCUGCCAGCAACCCCCCAUUUUUACAGGUUGACCUCGGAUC